rnacentral:rRNA from 1 species
CCUACGGGAGGCAGCAGUGAGGAAUAUUGGUCAAUGGACGAGAGUCUGAACCAGCCAAGUAGCGUGAAGGAUGACUGCCCUAUGGGUUGUAAACUUCUUUUAUAUGGGAAUAAAAUGUUCCACGUGUGGGCUUUUGUAUGUACCCUAUGAAUAAGGAUCGGCUAACUCCGUGCCAGCAGCCGCGGUAAUACGGAGGAUCCGAGCGUUAUCCGGAUUUAUUGGGUUUAAAGGGGGCGUAGGUGGAUGGUUAAGUCAGUUGUGAAAGUUUGCGGCUCAACCGUAAAAUUGCAGUUGAAACUGGCAGUCUUGAGUACAGUAGAGGUAGGCGGAAUGCGUGGUGUAGCGGUGAAAUGCUUAGAUAUCACGAAGAACUCCGAUUGCGAAGGCAGCUCACUGGACUGCAACUGACACUGAGGCUCGAAAGUGUGGGUAUCAAACAGGAUUAGAUACCCGAGUAGUC